GGCCAAAUGAGUGUGUAUGUAGGUCCUUAAACUUUUGGCAAGCAGGUGACCUGAGGCUACUCUCUGGCUGCUUCAGAUUUACAAAUUCAGCAGUCGUCAAGUGAUCGAGGAAGAGCUUUCACCCGCGCUUUCUCCAGCUCGUGUUAUGGUAAACGGAGUUGACUAGCUGGAUGCGGUGAACGUGAUCGUGGCUGAGCGAAAACUAGAGCGAACAUCGGCAGGGCAACCUUCGUUCGGUUUUGGGGAUCAAAACCAACCCUGAAUUGGCAUUCUUCUUAUUGGACAGGUGGAUAAUCGGGGGUAUUUAAGGAGGCCCCAACAGCCAGGUGAGAGUGAACAGGCAGUUUGAAGUCAUCUGACAACAGUUUCUCACGCACAGUCAUGUGGAAAGACUGUGCGUGUGGAGAUCUAUAGCAGAUGACCAUGGCAAUCCAGAUCAAUCGCAUGGUGUCAGAAGACUUGGAUUAUACUACACGAGCCGUAUGGAGUCAUUUUAUGGACAUUUGUUGUCCUUUUUGAAGCCGAAGGCUGGACUCCAUUUACUGAAGUUGUUUGGAAGAAAGCUCCCCUGGCAGUAAUUUUUGGGUGAACUAUUCCUUUAAUCACAGUAAGAGCCCCUGUCACUUCCUGAUAGUAACAUUUUAUCUUGUGACUGAAUGCAAAGAUUGCUGAAAUCGCACCGUCUGAUCACAUCUUCAUUACCUUGUCUUCAGGCUUUUUUAUCUGCAACCUGUUCUCAUUGCUGGGCACAGCCUCAUACCUUUGGUUUAUUAACAUCAGGACUUGGCCACUUCCCUUGAAGUGAUAUUGAACUUUAUUGAAGGUUGGGUUGUGGAGUGUAGUGGCCAUGACAUAAGUCUAAAUAUUGCUGAUCGUCUUCAUCAGCUGCUCCUGUACUUCACAAUUGUGGAACAGAGUAUAGCCUCCCAAUACACAUUCAUUGCAUUGGGGAAAAGGUUUCAAAAUGACUCUUAUUGCACAUAAACAGACAAAAGGCAGAUUCUGCUAGUAUAAGUUAAUAAGACUCUUAUAAUCAUGUCAAAUUAGGCCACCUUUUGAAUUGUGACAUGCCCCCUGCUAGAGCAAAGACAUUACUGACUCAGUACGUAGACGGUAAAAAGGAAAUGGUAGGCUAAUCUUACCAUUUAUAGGUGAAAAAAGAACAGAACAGAAUCCACUCAGUCUGAGUGGAUUUUAACAGAAUCCACUUGGUUUCUAUUUCCAGUUUUGCCAUGCAUUGAAUGUGUAUGAAGGGUUAUUCAACGAUACCUACUUGUGGAGCAUAGGAGCAGCUGCUGGAGAAGAUCAAUAAAUUAGACUUACAUUAAAGGAUAAAGCCGGUGAAAUUUUUUAUUUUAUUUAUUGUAAAAAUGGCCAGUGAAAAGAACAAAAACUGCAUUGCUUUUCUGUUACUAACAACUAUGGUCCAUCUCGCCACCACCAGAAAUACUUAAUAUCCAGUGGCGGGCCGUGCAAUUAAAGUCUAGGCCUUCAGUGUGAUUCAUGCCAUUAAGAAAACACAGUUUCACAAUGAAUAAGACACCCUAUGACUUUGGGCAUCAUACAUUAUGUCGCAGCUAACUAGUAAUACCAAUUGACAUUUUAAAAACACGCAUGAAAGCCAGAAUUUGAAACGACACUUAAUGAUCAAGCAAGCUUAAUUUUAACUGCAGCAUGACUGUUUUGAGAAAUGAACGUCUCCCGGACAGACAUUCAAAAUCAUAAUUUUUCAUAUGAAUCGACCAAGGAGGUCUAUAAUACCUGGAAAAAUCUAUCUAAUAAAAUUUGUGAUUUAAAUGUUGCUUGCAAUAAAUUUCGUUUCGUCAGGGUACAUGGUUAUGCUGCGUUCCAUUCAAGUUGGAUGUGGGAUAUUCAUACUUCAUAUCUCCAACCAUAAAUGCAUUCUGUUCUCCGAUAUUCGGAACUGCAAUGCUCCCGUUAGCUUAGCAAGGGUUUGACUCUCAUUAGAGAUGUCUCCUAGCAACCCAACUGAUAAACAAUUCAGGUGUACGAUUAUCAAAAGAGAUUAUAAUGUUUUAUACACCUGUUUCUGCAAGCGUUUGUUAAACAAGCUUUAAUAUCAACAAACUCAUUUAUCGAUAUUACUUAAUAAAGUGAAUGUUUAUCACUUACGUUGUAUAUCUCCCUGAGUUGCGACAUGUUUAUGUGACAUCAUGCCCCUGCAUCUCGGCGAAAUCGGAGUUGAUAAUUUCUGCACGAGCCUACAAGUUGUAAUUCUGACUUAAAGAUGCAUUCCAUUGCACUUUUCCUAGUAGAAAGUUGUAAUAUCUGACUACUUUUCAAAACUUGAUCCGACACUGAAUGCUCCAGCAGCCUAAUUUACACUUAGAAAACUCCUGAUGUUGCUAUAACAAUGCAAAAAGCACUUACCAAUUUGCUUGAAGUGAAAAUCAGUCUUCCUUUCCCGAUUAAUAAAUUAAGCAAUCACACGAUCAUGCAAAACAUCUCGUGUUUUUAAAUCCGUAAGGAUCUCUUUCUCAGUGGCGAUGUGGCAGUGACAGUCGACUCGUCAGCAAGAUCUCGCGCUUGCUUUCAAAUUACAUCACUUAAAGCGUGAUUGCAUCGCUCAAGGCCAGCUAGAAGGCCUCGACCAGGACAUAUCCUAAAGAUCACACCCACCAAGAACAAAUAAAUCAAUCUGAUUGGCUCAUGAAUCUGACAAUCUGAUUUUAGUUGCCCAUUCAUUUGCACUGUUGAGGGAUUCUGUAGAAAUUCUGAAGGCCUGACGGGGUGGAGCUCAGACUCAUGCGCUGCUUCGGCUAAAGAGCUCGGCUUUGGGCUUGCAAUUUGUGAAACAGUUGUCACACUUUGCUUGUAAGCAUCAAGGAAUAAAUUCUGACUGGAUAAACUUUUCGUUUUUCUCUAUUUGUUUGUAGAUUAGUUAAGAGUGGAAAGCAAUUAAAAAUACAUAGGCAAAAAGGUGAUUGAGAAUGAAAGGAUGAAAAAUAUUUAUUUAUUUGGCAUGUUAGGCCAGCAGUGAAGGCUUUGCUGGCCCUGAGAAAUCGCCACUGUUCAUAUCAUGUAACUGAUUGAACACCAUGGUAUUCUAAAAUUAAAACAAGUCACAAACUUGCAAUUUUUCUUUGGUUUGCAUAAUUUAUCGUUACAAUGACAAUUCAUUAAUUUGUUUCCCAUAAAAGUGUAAUGAUGAAUUAUGCUGAUCAAAGAAAAAAUAUAGGUCUGUGACUUGUUUUCACAGGUUUUUGAAAUACAGUUGAGUUCAAUUAGUUACAUAAUAUAAGGUGUUUCUGAUGGUGGCUAUAUGGGCCAUAGCUGAAAUGCACUGUAGAUUUUGCUCUUUUCAAAGGUCAUAGUGACAAUAAGUGUAAAUGUACAAACCCCAUUUCCAGAAAAGUU